rnacentral:lncRNA from 1 species
GGAUUAGAGAUCUCUCUGGGAUGGAGAUUCACUGGGGAAUUAGGUGAAGAAGAAGAAUUGGAAGAGUUCGCAGCAGUCAUCAUUACCUAAUUUGGUGAAUUGAGGACGAAAAGAAAGAAAUCCAAGAUGCAGCGACCUGUUUGGGAGAUAGGAAAAUUCAAGAAACGCAAGAAAGUUUCAAGAAAGAGAGGGAAGCAGAGGAUCGAAGUCGGUUAGACAAUGGUGAUGAUACCAUGUAGAAACUGAGAAUCUAGAGAGAUAUUUCAGUUAUAUAGAGAGAGAGAGAGAGAGAGAGUAAAAUAAGAUUGUGAUUUCAUUAAUCAUUAACAUCAACAGAUCAUUACACAAGGAAUUUAUACAUAAAUAUCGUAUCCUAGCCAUAUAUGCCAACUAAGCAUAAUGUACAACUAAUCACUAACUAUGCUAAUCUUAAUAGCUAAUCAAACAUCUAAUUUGGUACAUGGUUGCUGUGAGAGGUUGUACUCUCAACAUCCUAAACAUAAAGUGCAUCAUCCGAAACCGCACUUCUUAUAUAACAACCACUUGUUACUUUUACAGUUUGUCACAAGCAUUUAUCAUUUUUACAGUUGGUGUCUUUGUACAUGUCCUUGAAAUACGGUUAAAUAUUCAAGGCCUGAGAAGAGAAUUAUUAGUGUUGAGAAUUAUUGAUUUAAAUUACACGAUUUUAACCAAUAAAUAUUUGCUGCCGCCACAUUAGCAAUGAUCACUACCGCCAAACUCCUAACACUAUCGCUAUCAUCACCUCGAUGGGCAAUCCACUACCAUUACAUUACCACCCCCUGUACAUUCAUCCAUGUCAUCUUAAGGUCUGUAUUUUGAAGAUGUGUGAGGACUAAAUACAUAUUAGCCACAAGAUUAUAUUAGAUUAAAUUCAAAGGCUUAAAAUAUUUGACAACUUAAUAAAGUAAAACCUGUAAACCUUACUGUAGUAUGAUGAAGAAGAAGAAAUGAAGAGGAGAAGAACAGAGAUAGCUUUGAGAAGAAGAAGGAGAGAGUCAUUCAAUACUCAAGAAUUUCAUUACAUUUACUGUUGAGAUCAUUACAUACUUAUAUUCUUUUACACACUAAACCUUAUCUCUUAAGCUAUCUUGUAACUACCUAAUAUAACAACCUUUCUCAUCUAAUGACAAGUGGCAUCUUAUUAAGCAUUGGAUCACUAUCCUCAACAUCCCCCCUCAAACUCAGGAGAUGAGCAAUCGAGCCUGAGGUUGUUGCAGUGUGACUGAAAUAAUGGAGCAGAUAGUCCAUUGGUUAGAAUGUCAGCAAACUGGUCACUAGACAUAACAAAGCGAACUUGAAGUAACUUUUUAGCAACUCUUUCUCUCACAAAAUGGAUGUCCACCUCAAUAUGUUUAGUGCGCUGAUGCAAAACUGGAUUACAAGAUAAUGCUAUUGCAGACAUAUUAUCACAGAAGAGAACAGUGGGAGUAGGAACUGAAACUUUGAGAAACAUAAGUAGUUGUUUAAUCCAGUCAAGUUCAGCUGCAGUAGUUGAUAAGGCUCGGUAUUCAACCUCUGUGGAUGACCGAGAAACCAUUUGCUGCUUCUUAGAAGACCAAGAGAUAGUGUUAUGACCAAGAAAGACCACAAAACUUGUUGUUGAUCGCCUAUCAUUAGGGUCACUAGCCCAAUCAGCAUUUGAAAAGGCAUGUAAAUCCAUAGAACCUUUCACAUAUUUAAUCCCAAGCUUGACAGUACCCUUAAGAUAUCUGAGGAUCCUUUUUACCGCAAUAUAGUGUGAUUCCAUAGGUUUGUGCAUGAAUUGACACACCUGAUGGACUGCAAAUGCUAUAUCCGGUCUUGUAAAAGUUAGAUAUUGUAAAGCACCAACAAUGCUUCUGUAAAGUGUAGGAUUGUUGAAUGGUUGUCCAUCAUCCAAUAACAACAUAUUAUGGUAAACAAGGUGUGGCACAGAAUUUAGAUUCUAACAUCUCAGUUUUUGUAAGGAGAUCAGUAACAUACUUUGCUUGUGAGAGAAGCAAACCAUCUGCCUGUUCAAUAAUCUGAAUCCCCAGAAAGUAAUGGAGAGAGCCUAAAUCCUUGAUUUCAAACUCUUUGGUUAAUGCAGUAAUAACAUCAUUAACAACAGAAAUAGCAUUCCCAGUAAUUAUUAUAUCAUCCACAUAUAAUAGGAGAAUCACAACUGCAGAACCAACUUGCUUCACAAAGAGAGAUGAAUCUGCAUAAGUUGUAUCAAAACCAAGAGAUAGGAGGAAGCUAGUGAAUUUUUCAUUCCAAGCUCGGGGAGCUUGCUUAAGACCAUACAAAGACUUAUGAAGUUUACAAACAUAAUCUGAAUGACGAGAAUCAAGAAAUCCAGGUGGUUGAGACAUAUAAACCUCCUCCUGUAAAAUCCCAUGAAGAAAUGUAUUCUUCACAUCUAAUUGCCGUAGUUUCCAACCAAAAUUAGCUGCCAAGGCCAACACAAGUCUCACAGUAGUUGGUUUAACUACGGGACUAAAAGUUUCCCCAUAAUCAAUGCCUUCUUCCUGAUUAAAACCUUUAGCAACUAGCCUAGCCUUAUAUCUCCCAAUAGUUCCAUCAACAUUCUUCUUAAUCUUGAAUACCCAUUUACAUCCAACCAAGUUUUUAUUUGGAGGUAGAGGUACCAAGGUCCAUGUGCCCUGAGAUUGUAAUGCAGACAACUCUUCCUUCAUUGCAUGGAACCAAACUUCACUCUUUAAGGCUGACUUGCAUGUGGCAGGUUCAACCAUUGAAAAAUCUACGCCAUCAUUCUCGUGUAUUGUUGCUAAGAGAGCCAUUUUCUUGGAAAUUCGAUUUUUUGAGCGAGUUUGCAUUGGAUGCAAGUUUAAUGGAGGAAUAGGAAGAACCACUUGCAAUCUCUCCGGUUGGAAAUCAGGAGUCACAGGGAUAGUAGAGGAGGAUGAUUGUUCAAUUGCAGUAAUGAAUUGUGGUGAAUGCUGUUGUACUGAAGGAUCUGGGAUUGGUGAUAUGGAAGCAGGUAGUGUAGAAUCUGGUGGUGUUGAAAGUUAUACUAAAGUAGACUCAUGAGGACUAGAGUGUGAUGGGGGUGAUGUGGGAGCAUGUAAAACUGGAGAUAUAAGCACAUUUUGAAAAUUAAGAACUGGAGUAGGAAUGGACACUGUUAUAGGUGGUGGUUUAAACACUAGCAAUUGUUGUGUACUAGCCAAAGAUGGGUAACGAAACUCCCUUUCAUCAAAUAGAACAUGGUGAGAGAUAAAGACUUUCUUCCUAGACACUUCAUAACAGAGAAAUCCUUUGUAUUUGGAAGCAUAACCUAGAAAGACACACUUACUGGUUAUGGGCUGCAACUUAGUAGAGUUAAAUGGUCUUAACAAUGGGUAACAUGAACAACUAAAAGUUCUUAAAUGGUUAACUUCAAGAACAGGUCCAUAUAAGACUUCAAAUGGUGAUUUAUGAUGAAGUGUUUGAGUUGGCAUUCUAUUAAUUAGGUAGACAGAGGUUUGACAAGCAAAAGACCAGAAACUAGGAGGUAAUUGAGCUUGUUGUAACAGGGUGAUUGAAGUUUCAAUAAUGUGUCUAUGCUUUCUUUCAGCCAGACCAUUUUAUUCUGGUGUGUGAGGACAUGACAUUUGAUGAGUUAUUCCUUUUUGAACUAGAAAAGAUUGAAAGUGUUUUCCUAUGUAUUCACCCCCACCAUCACUUUGUAAUGUUUUAAUGGAUAUAGAAAAUUGAUUUAACACAAACUGAUAAAAGGCAACAAAGAUGGAACAAACAGCUGCUUUAUUAUUGAUAGGAAAAAUCCAACAGUAUCGUGUACACUCAUCUAUAAAGGUAACAUAAUAUUUAAACCCUUUUAUAGAGAGACAAGGAGCAGGGCCUCACACAUCACUAUGAACAAUCUCAAAAGGUGUAUUAGACUUUGACAAGGCAGAGGCAAAAGGCAAUUUACUAAAUUUUCCCUCUAAGCAUGUAGAACACAACAUUGGAGAAGAAUCAGGUUCUAUAUGUAUGUUGGAUUUCUUAAGAAUAAGAGAGACUAUAGAGUUAGAGGGAUGACCUAAUCUACUAUGCCAUAGGCUGGAGCUAAUUUGAUGACCAAGAUAAGCAACAGCUGGAAAAAUUGGUUUGAUGGAUGCAGGGCUUGUAGGAAUAGGAAUGGGGUACAAUCCAUUAUUGCAUAGGCUUUUGAACAGUACUCUCCCUGUGACUUUGUCCUGAAUCCAAAAACAAAAGGCAUAAAAAAUUAGCCAACAAUUGUUAUCAAGACAUAUUCUAUGUACUGAGAGUAAGUUUUGAGUGAGUUUAGGUACACAAAGCACAGAAUUCAGCUUUUAUUUGUGAGCAGAAGGUUGUAAAACAAUAGAGCCCACAUGAGACACACUCAGACCUUCACCAUUAGCAGUCUGAAUCAUUUCUGUGGAUGGAUAUGGUGUAGCCAGAGACAAAUUGCUCAGAUCAGCAGUCAUAUGGUUGGUUGCACAUGAAUCAGUAAGCCACACUUGCUGUGAACUCACUUGUUGUCCCAAAGUUGAUGCUGAAGCAUUAACAUGAUAUGCAUUCAUAAAUGGCUGAGAAGAUGGACCAUUUGAAUUCCUGAAAUGGCAAAACUUAGCACUAUGGUUCAUUUUUCCACAAAUUUGGCAACCUUCAGGAAUUGGAGAUUUAGUAUUUCGAAAUCUACAUGUAUUAGCAAAGUGACCAUAUUUACCACAUAUUUGACAUGGUGACACUUGAGAAUUGGAUGAAGAAUAUUGACCUUGUGGAGAAGAACCAAGAAUCCCUCGAGUGGAAUUGUUGUAGAACUGUUUGCCAUUGGCAAAUUUAGAAUUUGAACUAUACUGGAAUUUCCCUUUUCCUUUGUUCUUAUUAUAGAAAGGUCUAUAACCAGAGGCGUUAUAACCAGAUGAAUUACCAUCAGAAAAACCGCUUGAUUGGUCUCCAGAAUUGGAAUUAGUCCCAAAUUUCGACCCUUUUUCAUUGAACUGCAUAUCAGUAUCUCUAGCUACCAUAGCAAACAUGAAAGGAGUAGCAGAUACAUGUGUAAGCAUUGCUUCCUCAACAAGUAGUUGAGAUCUGAGGUCCAAAAGAGAAAUUACAUUCUCUCUUCCUCGAAUAAUAGACCGAAUAGUAUUGAACUCAGCAGGUAAACCAUUGAGAGUAGGGAUUACUAUAUCAUCAUCAUCAAACUUCACAGCCGCAGCAGAUAAGUAAUCUCUAGCUUCUUUUAUCCGUUGCAAAUAUAAAGAAAUGAAAUCAUUACCCUUUUUGAUAUUCUGAAGUUCGGAUUUCAAUUAAAAGAUACUGGUAUGAGUCACUGUGGAAAAUUGCUCUUUUAGGCGAUUCCAGAUAUCUUGAGCACUUGUACUGCCAAUAACACAUAGAUAGCUUAAGAGAUAAGGUUUAGUGUGUAAAGAAUAUAAGUAUGUAAUGAUCUCAACGGUAAAUGUAAUGAAAUUCUUGAGUUUUGAAUGACUCUCUCUUUCUUCUUCUCAAAGCUAUCUUUGCUCUUCUCCUCUUCAUUUCUUCUUCUUCAUCAUACUACAGUAAGGUUUACAUGGUAUCAUCGCCGGAAUUGCUAAUCGCUCGGUAAUCAAUCUUGGUUCUAUUGCUUCCGCUCUAUAUCUUUCCUCUCUCUCUGAUCCUAAUUCUUCUCUUCUUGAAUUCUUUGGUUUUUUUUGUGCUUCUUCAGCAGUGAUCGAGCAAGAACUAGUUUCUUGCACACCAGGUGUUUGUUAAAACGUUUUUGAGAUAUUGAAAUUCAAAUUGUUCAACAAUGGUGACAUCUUUUCAGCUCCAGAUUGUCCAGUCUCCGAUUACGGCUCUUAUCUCCAUAGUUUCUACUUCUGUGACAGCCAAGCUUGAUGAAUCAAACUACCUGACUUGGAACUUUCAGGUUCAAUUGAUGCUUGAAGGUAAUGGAAUUAUGGGGUUUGUUGAUGGGUCAAUGAUGUGUCCUUCAAGGUUUCUUACUGCGGCAUCUAGUGGUUUAGAGGUCAAUUCUUGCACUUCAUCCAUCCAAGUCGAAUUUGAGGAUUUCAAGAUUUGGAAGAUGCACGAUCGAGCGUUUAUGCAGUUGAUCACUGCUACCCUCUCACCAUCUGCUGUAACUACCUAAUAUAACAACCUUUCUCAUCUAAUGACAAGUGGCAUCUUAUUAAGCAUUGGAUCACUAUCCUCAACAAAACCAACUUAAAAUCCAUGAGCCAAUAAAAACCUCAUUUUUUUUUGUUUUUCUUUAUUAAGUUGUCAAAUAUUGUAAGCCUUUGGAUUUAAUCUAAUAUAGUCUUAUGGCUAAUAUGCAUUUGGUUCUCACAUAUCCUCAAAAUAAGGAUGGAGAGUAGAACUAUUAUAAAAAUCUAGCACUUUUGAGUUAGAUUCCUAGAACACAACAGCUACAAAAAGCGUGUGUUUUUAUUGGGGGUGAGUUCUAUCUACUAAUUGUGGGACUCUGGUAGGAUUAAAAGCACACCACAAAGUAGCAUACA